rnacentral:rRNA from 1 species
AUUGAACGCUGGCGGCAUGCCUUACACAUGCAAGUCGAACGGUAACAGGUCUUUCGGGAUGCUGACGAGUGGCGAACGGGUGAGUAAUACAUCGGAACGUGCCUAGUAGUGGGGGAUAACUACUCGAAAGAGUGGCUAAUACCGCAUGAGAUCUAUGGAUGAAAGCAGGGGACCUUUGGGCCUUGUGCUACUAGAGCGGCCGAUGGCAGAUUAGGUAGUUGGUGGGAUAAAAGCUUACCAAGCCUACGAUCUGUAGCUGGUCUGAGAGGACGAUCAGCCACACUGGGACUGAGACACGGCCCAGACUCCUACGGGAGGCAGCAGUGGGGAAUUUUGGACAAUGGGCGCAAGCCUGAUCCAGCAAUGCCGCGUGCGGGAUGAAGGCCUUCGGGUUGUAAACUGCUUUUGUACGGAACGAAAAGUCUUGGGUUAAUACCCUGGGAUCAUGACGGUACCGUAAGAAUAAGCACCGGCUAACUACGUG